GUUUUCAAAAAUUAUGGCCAAGACAGGCAGCCCACCCUACUCCUUGGGACAUCUGGGAUGAUUUGAAAAGUUUGGAGCAUGGGAAGGGCAGGAGCCCUCCUCGGGAGAGGACAGACCUCCUGCUUUGCCAGCCGACACCGCUGGAGAGACAGCACGGAGAGAAGCUGACACCACCUCGCAGUUUGUCCUAGGCUGGUGGGACGCAUGGGGUCAUGUUCCAGCCGUUCUCCUGUCCGAAGGUCUUGCUGGAGAGACCUUGCACUAGAAGAACCUCAUCUUGUGACAUGAGUUGAGACUGCUCCAUUCCUCACAGAAUUGCUCAGUGCCUGGAGGACAAGGAGAUUAAGAACCACCUAAUAGAGACCCAAGUUAUGUCUGCGCUGCUGUUAGAGGGUCUUCCAGAUCGAAUUUGCUCUGUUUGCAAACCAGAAGAUGAUUUUCCUAAUGGCUGUAACUACAUUGCUCAUAUUCUGGCUGCACAGACUUGCUCCUGUAUAGCUGCAGUGCAUCUGGGAGGAGGGAAGGUCGGGGGCACUUGGAGGCCUCUUUCAACUCGGGUCCUCGUGGGAAUUGCCAGAAUCCAGUCUCACCUCUUGGAGGGAGGAAUCUUCCUCAUCCGAUCAUGCCCAGCGAUAGAGAUCGCUCAAGACGUUGCGCCGCAGGCAUCCUUCCCGACGGAGGUAGCAAAGUCCCAGAAUGAUCUGCGUGGGCUGUACAAAGCAAAACCGCUCAGGAAAUUCAAGGAUUUUGACCCGCUUCCUCGCAUCCUGCUCUGUAGUGCAGCAGCGGUGGCCGCGUCCUCAGCACGGUGGAAGGACGACGUGGUUUGUGUGAGCUGAGCAGAGGUGGUCCCGCGUCCCGCGCCAAGGCAAGUAGCUUCCCUUCUCAGCUCUACGUUCCCUCCUGCCCUCUUCUGUACCUGAUCUCUCUUGUUACACAAAUUACUGGACGACCAGCCUCCGGCGAGGCUCCCACAGCAGCGCACAAAGCAAGCCAAAAAAAUAAUAACCCCCAGAAUUGCUCAUUUUCUUCCUCGAUCCCAGAACAAAUAGAAGAAAUUUUUGAAAAGCGGCUGCAGCAGCAGCAGCAGCAGUGGAACAGAUGGUGCUUUUUUUUGGUAACACUAUUUCUCUCAGAGGUUUUCCGCCGCCGUCUCUGCGCAGGCUCCGUCCCUUUCCAAGCUCUCCCCGCGGUAAGUGUGAAUGGUGCUGCUGCUGAUCUUAUGGAUAUUGAUUCCAUCUCGCAAAAAUGUGUCGCAGCCAAGGGAGUUCGCCCUGCCGACCUUCAGCCUGCCUGCUGCCGGGAGCCGGUGACGUCCGAGCCAGCGGCGAAGCCGGCGGAAGCGGGAGGGGGCGGCAGGGCAGGAGGGAGCAGAUUUGCUGCUCUCAUCGCACGGGGGGGAAACUUCUCAGGUGAACGCGGUCGCAGGCAGCGUCAUGCAAAGCAAGUCGCUGCAGCCCUCGGGGCAGGAGACCCUCCCUGGCGCGGGACCGGCGCGGAGGGCAAUGGCUCUGCUGCGGGGGCCGCGGUUCCCGUUAGACGCAGGCGCGCCAGACGUGAGAUGGGGCGUCCGAGCAGCCCUGGCGAGCCUGCACGGGCUUGAGGGGGAUGGAAAAACCUUUCUCUCCACCAACGACCCCGACCCGGGCGUAACUGGGACUCCCGUGCAGAUCCCAGGUGGAGCAGGGCACGGUUUCACGCUGUAAGAAUAAAAUUGAGCCCUGGGGAGGGAGCA
ensembl:lncRNA